rnacentral:rRNA from 1 species
GACGAACGCUGGCGGCAGGCCUAACACAUGCAAGUCGAGCGAGCGGCGGACGGGUGAGUAAUGCCUAGGAAACUGCCUGAUGGAGGGGGAUAACUACUGGAAACGGUAGCUAAUACCGCAUACCAUCGGAUGUGCCCAGAUGGGAUUAGCUAGUAGGUGGGGUAAAGGCUCACCUAGGCGACGAUCCCUAGCUGGUCUGAGAGGAUGACCAGCCACACUGGAACUGAGACACGGUCCAGACUCCUACGGGAGGCAGCAGUGGGGAAUAUUGCACAAUGGGCGCAAGCCUGAUGCAGCCAUGCCGCGUGUAUGAAGAAGGCCUUCGGGUUGUAAAGUACUUUCAGCGGGGAGGCGUUACCCGCAGAAGAAGCACCGGCUAACUCCGUGCCAGCAGCCGCGGUAAUUC